ACAGGGCUGGAGAACAGUACAAGGAACUUGCCGCUGGACCGUACAGAGGCGCAUAGGGAGGAAAAUGCACCGCCGUCGCUGCAGCCUGAAACGAUACUCCCAGAUGUUCUUUGACCAACGAACCGAAUAAGCAGAGACUCGAAAAAGUUUCUUCAACGCCAGGAAGAUCCUUCACCACCGACUGUUCUACACGGUGUGAUACGAUCGAGCGAGAAGGGAGAAGAAGAAGAACAGGCGUACAGCCUUAGGCGAGGUGUGCACGGUCGAGUGAAAUAAUUUCCUGGUGUCCUUAGCAGCGACGAAAGAGGAAGAACGGAAGCUAACUGGUCUUUCACAAAGUUUCUUGGACACUCGAAGAAGCUUCUACUGUGAGAAACUGGCGGCGGAUAAUGGUCCCCGCGAGGUAGACGAAGGAGAACCGAGUGAUCCUUCCGGAUAAAGGGUGUACCUUGUAUGCGUGUACCGACCCUCUUACAAAGCGUAUCCUCCCUCUUCGAGGGAAUCCACUGGAAAGAGCAAAUCUCCUUUUACCGAGUAAUGAUUGCGACAGGGCUUUGAUACUGACUCUUGCGUGUUAUCCAAAUUGACCCAGAAGUUCCAAAAUUUAUUUCAUUCAAAAUUGUCAAAGUUUUUUUUAUAGAAAAUCUUCGGUGCUUUAUUUUAAAUUUAAGAAAAUAUAUUUUUGUGAUUCUGGGUCACAAUGGAGCUGGCUCUUUCCAAGGGUUAAAAGACAUCGAACACCGUAUCAUUGAGAGUUUGUGGAUGUAGAAGGAGGGGGUGAAGAGUGCAUCAACCCUCUCUCUUAGCAGGAAGAAUAGGAGUCCGAGGAAGCAACGAAGCAACUAAGCAACCAGUCGAGAAUCCCUCGCGGUGGGUAGGCAGUGGCCCGAGAAAUUCAAUUACGGCUAAACUUCUCCAGUGAAGACGCGGCUCGUCUGUACACUACUGUAAGCACUCUGUUUCGAAGAUCGAACCGAGGAGACAUCCCCUGUGUACUCGCGACCCUCCACUUUUCAACGGGUGGCGGAGGAGGGAAGAAGAGAAGGCGUAGGUGUAAUUGAAACCGAGCGAAAUCGAAGUUUCAAUCCCCUGGCCCUGGCUGAGAAUGCUGCCUCCUUGCACAAACCUCUUCGAUGAGAAAAGAAUCGCGAGAAGUGAUUUCUGUCCGAUGCAAACCUGUCGCUAAACGUUCGAUUCGCUAUUACUACCACCAAUUAUUUUCUUCAUUUUUACGUGUUUCAGACGUGUAGCUAUUCGACUGAUUGUUAAGGAUGGAUAAUUGGAUAAUUAAGGAAACCUGUAGAGGAUGAUUCAAUCACUGAAGCCAUAAUAAAAUCAUAGCACAGAUAUUUGGAAGAAAUAUUGCAAUAUGAAGUUGUAACUACAAUACUUGUAAGUUCCCAAAGUGUAUCUAAGAAGAUUGCUCUUGAUAAGUAAAAUGGAACAGGUGUAGCAGUGAAAGGGCAACAUAUUUUCCACUGAAUUCUGUAAAAACUGGCAUAGGAGCAACAAAAGUGUGACACGCGACCAAGAGUAGAAUAAGCGAGAAACACGCAUGCGUUGUAGCACGCUUGAGUUGCGUACGAGUGGCCAUUAGGAACGUGCGUGAACGUACAAGGCUAAAUAGGGCAAGUGGCCAGGGACCAUAAUGUUAAGUAAAUAAUGGCCAAACUCCUGGUCCCUUAUUAUACCACUCAAAGCAAAAGUCGUACUCGUUAGUGGCGGCUUUAUAAUUCUCUCCAACCCUUCGCUUCCUUUCUAGGCUUCUUUCCUCUCCUCGCUGGCUCAUUCUCACCCUCCGUUAAGUGUACACGCGUGUGCUGUUCACUUCCGCAAGAACCGAGUGCACGCACUCGCUUCCUAUACUGGAGGACUGGUUACCACUUGCUGAUUUCAACCACCGACCCACCUGUUUCGUGGAGAUCCUUGAAGAAAUGGAGAUUCUUCGAUGCAACCCUUGCGAGUCUAGGAAUUUCCUAUCUUGGAGGAUCUUGAAGACGUCGAAGAGAAUUCUUGGAACAACCCUUACAACUAAUUACGAAGAAGGCCAGAAGAAACAAUUCCACCCUCAAGGACUACAGGUAUUAAGAAACACGAAGGACCGAUUUCAGUGAUCGUAUUGGGGUGAUCCGACAAGAGGGUGCAAGGCUCGGUAACAGAAUCUCAAGAAGGUUUAGCGUUACGAUCCUUCAUCGAUCAAAUUACCAAGUGUUUUAUUCCUUGGUGAAACAUAGAGGGUCACUUGAGAAUGGCUAAAUCUGUGCAACACAAUGUCCCUAUAGAAAAUGAAUCUUUACACCAUGAUGGUUCUUGAUAGCACUCGAGUUAAAGUACAUGUAAAACGAGGAAAGGAGAAAGUCACAUGUUUCGAAAGACCCUCUGGCUAAUUUGAAUCAUUUUACACUUCCGUGAUCCGUUUCACGAAGCCCGUGGGAAAGGAAACAACACCCUUUGCCGCCUGUUAAUCGAAUAACUUGCCAAGUAUCAUGCCACUGAUAAUAUCACACUGCCGUUACGAUCUCUGGCUAAAUGGAACUUGGUUUGA